UAGGGAAUUUUCGUCAAUGGGGGGAACCCUGAACGAGCAAUGCCGCGUGUGUGAAGAAGGUCUUCGGAUCGUAAAGCACUGUUGUAAGCGAAGAAUGCCAUAUAGAGGAAAUGCUAUGUGGGUGACGGUAGCUUACCAGAAAGCCACGGCUAACUACGUGCCAGCAGCCGCGGUAAUACGUAGGUGGCAAGCGUUAUCCGGAAUCAUUGGGCGUAAAGGGUGCGUAGGUGGCACGAUAAGUCUGAAGUAAAAGGCAACAGCCCAACUGUUGUAUGCUUUGGAAACUGUCGAGCUAGAGUGCAGAAGAGGGCGAUGGAAUUCCAUGUGUAGCGGUAAAAUGCGUAGAUAUAUGGAGGAACACCAGUGGCGAAGGCGGUCGCCUGGUCUGUAACUGACACUGAUGCACGAAAGCGUGGGGAGCAAAUAGGAUUAGAUACC
rnacentral:rRNA from 1 species